GUCUAUGGCCACACCACCCUGAACGCACCCGAUCUCAUCUGGUCUCGGAAGCUAAGCAGGGUAGGACUUGGUUAGUACUUGGAUAGGAGACCACUUGGGAAUACUGAGUGCUGUAGUCU
ensembl:rRNA 5S_rRNA 5S ribosomal RNA